AAUAAUUUUUUUAAGUCUGAAGACUGCUGAUAGUGGCACUGUUAUUUCUCAUAUUGUGCUUGCCAGUUUUGUGACUUUGGUAUAAUUUACAUGCCUUUAAAUACUUACACCAUAUAUGUGUACAAGGCUGGGUGCAGUGUCAGUUAUGGAAGGGAUGACUAUCCCCAUAUAAAUAAUACAUUCUUAAUAAUAAAUGUGUCAUGUAAUAAAUAUGAAAAAAUGUGUGUAUAAAAUAUCUUCUCGCUCAUCUUUAUUGACAUUCACUUACAGGCUGAGGCACUAAAGAAAAUGUUUUCUCACAGACCAAUGGUACUGUAAUUGUUGUGCUUAAGAAACCACGUGGAUCUCUACCACAUAACUGAAGAACUGAUGGAAACCGGAGACAUGAAGAUGUCUAAUCAACUGGCUUGUUUUAUAGGCAUUAGGGGCAUCUUAUUUCAAGAAGAAACCCAUCCUGAUGCAAUUUAAAUCCAUCUUGUCUUGUUUAAGCUUCAAAAAAGAGAAAACUGUACCAGGUUUCCUCUGAAUAUUUCUUGACUUGUUUUUCUCCAUCUGUAUUCAGUCACCAUCUUUCCAUGAUCCCACUGACUGUGUUUCAUGCUACUUACGGCAUGGGAAGAGCUUAUAAAACUCAUAUUGUUAGAAAUAAAAGAAAUCCUUUAACAAUU